AUUGAACGCUGGCGGCAGGCCUAACACAUGCAAGUCGAACGAGCGGCGGACGGGUGAGUAAUGUAUGGGGCUCUGCCUGAUAGAGGGGGAUAACUACUGGAAACGGUGGCUAAUACCGCCUACUAUCGGAUGAUCCCAUAUGGGAUUAGCUAGUAGGUGGGGUAAAGGCUCACCUAGGCGACUAUCCCUAGCUGGUCUGCGCGGCUUAUCAGCCACACUGGGACUGAGACACGGCCCCGACUCCGACGGGAGGCAGCAUGGGGGAAUAUUGCACAAGGGGCGCAAGCCUGAUGCAGCCAUGCCGCGUGUAUGAAGAAGGCCUUAGGGUUGUAAAGUACUUUCAGCGGUGAGGCGUUACCCGCAGAAGAAGCACCGGCUAACUCCGGGCCAGCCGCCGCGGUAAUAC
rnacentral:rRNA from 1 species